UUGGGUAUAGUCCCUGGAUGUCUGGUGUUUUUCAGGAGUUGCUACAGCUCACCUCAGGCAUAGAGACCUGGGUGGUAACUGUGGUCCUGAUUAGUCAAGAGGUCUCUCCUCUCACUGGGAGAAGUCCUGGAGACAGCUGCCCUCCUUCUGGGUUUCUUGCUGUAAAUUUAGUGAUCAGCUGUGGUAAUCUGUGGCGGGGGACUACAGAAUCCAGUGCCAAGAGAAAGCGGUAGAAAUCCCACAUGUCUAAACUGAGCCUACAGCAGACCCUGCAAGAAUCCUGAACGGAUGUGAAGUAUGGGUAAAAGUUGGCAUAGAGGAAACAGAAGAUAUAAUUGAGAAAAAAAGUUAAGACAAUCACAGGCAAGAGAAAGUAGAAUUCUAUACAUAGAGACAUUCUGCUGACUGUGGGGCACAGAAAGACCAAGAACAACGACAGGAAAGAUGAUGAAGAGCUUGCAUGUCAGCUUGCAUGUGUGUAUCAUGGCGGAGUUGGGGUCUUCUGCGGUCUUUCUU